GGCCCAAUGGUCUAGUAGUAUGAUUCGCGCUUCGGGCUUUCCCAAGUUGUGCGAGGUCCCGGGUUCAAUUCCCGGUUGGGCCC
rfam:Trametes cinnabarina, BRFM137, WGS project CCBP01000000 data, contig: scf184746